CAUCUCUGGGGGGGGGCUGGGUUUAGGUUAUCAUGUUGUUGUACUUUGUAACACUGACUUAUGAGAUGAUAAAACUGUUGGUCGUGACACUAAUCUCAUAUUUGUACUCAGUAUUGCCAUCAACUCUGUACUUCAGGAGCCAUCUAUUGGGAACUAUUAAUAAUUACACCUUUUACCUUUUCUCCUCAGAGAGCUAAUCUAUGGGGGAGAUACCUUAUCCAUCUUCUCCUCCAAAAUUAAAAUAGUUCUUGAGGAUUUCAAAUAUUGAUAGGAUUUUGAAACUAUCAUGUUCCUAUUUCUAUGGCUCCUGAAUGUGCUUCUGGUCUUGUUUAAGGUGCAAGCAACUAUAUAAGAAUAACAUCCAGAGAUCUACCCUGAGCCUGGAUAGCUAUGAGUGGCAGGGUGUGUGAGGUAGUAUGGGCAAGAGCCUAGAACAGUUCCAGCCUUUUGGAAUUGCCCUUGAAUAAGUGCAGAAUCUGAAAAACUACAUAAAUAUUUGAAAAAAUAUACUGUCCGUUUGCAAAUCCAGAGACACAAAUCACCACAAUGCGCUGAGGCCUGGCCCAGGCCUACUGAGUGCUGUUCUAUUUAGUAACUUCAAGGGCAAGGGGAGCACAAUGAACACAAUGACAAAACAACAUGUGGCUAUUCCAACCCUGGUGACAGGAAGCAGGUUAUUCCAACCUCAGUGAUAGGCAUCGUCGCUAUGCAAAUCCCAGGGAGAGGCACUGCAGAUGAACCAAAGACCAAUCCAUGCCAGUAUCAGUCCUCCCUUGUGGAGGUCCUGAAGGUUGAAGAAUGGCUGCCAAUCACUACCACAACAGUGCUGUGACAGCAGCAGCACACCAAGAUUUCCUGAUUCUCAUCCAUAUGAUGCCUCCUGAACUGGAGAUCUAAGGAGUGAUCAGCAAGGCUCGCUCACCUUUCAACAGUCCCAUAUGAUCAGUGCAAAAGGCCAACGGAGAGUGGAGACUAAUGGUAGACUACUGUGGCCUGGAUGAAGUCACACCACCUGCAAGCGCUGCUGUUUUGGACAUGCUGGAACUUAAAUACAAACUGCAGUCAAAGGAAGCCAAGCAAUAAGCCAAAAAUGAUAUUUCUAAUGCAGUUUUGUCUGUUCCUUGGGCAGCAGGAGGAUGCUGUUAGCUUCCAUUUGGAAGGAAAUCCAGAAGACCUGGAACUGACUGUCCAGGGGUGGAAGCACAGCCCUACCAUCAAACAUGGACUGAUCCAGACUGCAACAGUGUGAAGCUAUAUGCUGUCAUUGUGUGUGACAAUACAACAGAAGUUUUUGAGAAAGGGAAGAAAAUAGACCAAAUCCUUCUGAAAGCCAGUUUUUCCGUAAAAUAAAGUAAGGUCAAGGGACCCGAACAAGACAUUCAGUUUUUAGGAAUAAAAGAGCAAGAUAGAAAUUGUCAAAUUCCAAUGGUUGUGAUCAACAAAAUAACAGCAAUGUCUAAACCAAUUAGCAAAAAAUUACACAUUGUGUAAUUUUUUAAUUUUUCUUUGACAUUGUGGGUUUUUGUAGAAUGUACAUUCCAGAUUACAGCCUGAUUGUCAGCCCUCCCCAUCAAGCAACACAGAAAAAUUAUUUCAAAUAGGUUUCUGAUUUAUGACAAGCCAUUGAACAAAUCAAACAGGAGAUAGUCCAUGCAGUACAUCUCAGGCCACUCUAGAGAUUCAAGCACAUGCUCUACACUGCUGCUAGGGAGAAAGGCCUUGCCUGGAGGCUCUUGCAGAAAGCACCAGAAAAGACUAGAGUUCAACCUCCAGGUUUUUGAUGUCUGGUGUACAGAGCAUCUGAAGCCCACUAUACUCCAGUUGAAAAAGUGAUACUGGCAUCUUUUGAAGGGGUUUGAGCUGUUGUGGAAGUCACUGGUACUGAAGUAUAGCUUCUUCUGGCAUCCCAUUUGCUGGUGCUAGCCUGGGCGUUCAGCAGGAGGAUCUCCUCUAUACAUCAUGCAACUCAUUCUGCAUGGAGUAAGUGGGUCACACUGAACUCACAAUGGGCUCAAACAGGAAACCCAAGUCACACAGGAAUUUUGGAAGUGAUCAUGGAUUGAAUAAAGAGAAAACUAAGGUUUCAGAAUAUUGCCAGAGAAGGACACACUAUACAAAGACCUACGAGAAAAAGGGAAACAAUAUACCCUUUUCACUGAUGGAUUCUUUAGUAAUAUAGGAGAAUCAUUCAAGGUGGAAUGCUGCUAUGCAGAGCCCCGCACAACAAGUCACAGGAACUGCUGAAAGUGAAGGUGAAUUGAGUCAGUUUGCAGAGGAGAAAGUUAUCCAACUGGCUUUAGAUUCUAUAAUAGCUGAAUGAAAAAAAUGGCCAAUACUUUACUUCCAUAGUGUCUCAAGGAUGGUUGCCAAUGCCUUGUGGAUGUGGCCGCAGCAAUGGAAGAAGACAAGCUGGCAGCAAAGAGGAUAUCUUUUUCUUUCAGUUAUCAAAUACAACUAAGUAUUUUCAACUGCUAGCUUCAUUGUUCUUCUGGCAUACUGCUCUGCGAAUUUAAAAAUGGCAACAAAUGUGCAAGCCUAUUAAGUCAGAGUUCCCAAGAAUGCCAGAUAAAUGGAAACCUAAACAUCAGACAGAGCAAGAAUCAGGAAAGUUCAAAUCUUCAAUAAUCCAGACUAAUUAAAAACAGUUUCAGAAAGUGGUUACACCAAGGCUGGAAGAAUAAUAAAUGUCAUUCUGUGUCUUCCAGAUGUAAAUAGUCUAUGUUUUGUUAGGUCUCUGACAAAUACUUUCAAAAUAAUAUGUACAAAUGUCUAGGAUACUUUAGGGAGCCCUAGGUAGACCUAGAUACCUAAAAACAACAAUCUACGACUACCUCUACGUACACUACAUAGGUCAGGACAUCUAGCUGAUAAUGCUUCUCUCAUUUAUACCCCAUUUCCAUUUGUUACAGGAGCUAGCUUUAUAUUGACAUCAACCUUUCAGAAGAAAUGAAAGGUAUUAAAAAUUAAAGACUACAGAAUAUGCUUUUGGCAUAUUUUUUUUCUUUUCCUUUCAUUUUCUUUUCCCCUUUCUUUUCUGCAUUCCCUUCCUGCUUCAGUAUUCAAAAACAACAGAUAUACUCUAGGCAUCCACAUGCUAACAUGUGUAUUUUGGUCCUGACAGGUUACUCAGAAGCCUAGGAAAGUAUUCAUGAAGCAGAUACUAGUGAAGAGAGCUAGAUUAUUGGUUUUUGUCCAUUGAUUCUAAACUGGUACUGCUGUAGGAAACCUCUUUCAAGACAGUUACUGAAUACUCAGGUCUCAGACCCUGGAUGAUGUCAUUGGGAAUUACGACUGAGAAGAAUUUCCACAUUUGUUAGAUUGGAAAGAGGCUACUUUGAGCCUAUGGGAAAGGGCUUUGUUUGUAGGGCAGAGACAGCAGGAGUGGUGGGAGGUUAUGGAAAGUCAGGAAAGGGCAGAGAGAAAAAAGAACAAUGGCAGAAGGGUGUGAGUCUGCCCAGUUUCUUUGUCAGGUGUUCACCAGCUCUGCUGCCCAAGACAUCACAGAAGCAGCCUGAGAGACUACUACAGGUUUAGGGUAUCUGUGAGCCACCAGUUCCCUAGCAAAACUUAAAGUACAGGGGAAGAUUCUAGGAGACAGAAAAACUAAUCAUAUUUUUCCAAUACUUGGAGGAAAUCAGAGAAAAUCUUCAGGUUAGUGCAGCCUGCAUUUUAGAUAUUCUAUUCAUUUAAUUCUAUCAUAGAAUUACUUGGUUGAGAACAACAAGAUAAGCAUAUCAUUAAUGCCACUGAACAGGAGAACAAGAACAGCAAAGGUUCUCCAAAGAAACCUAAUUUUAGAAUGAAUAUAGAGACAUAAUGGAAAUUUCAUAUAUUCAUCAGUCAUCAAAAUGUAGAUAUAAAACAGUUGUGAAAUUGUUGUUGAUUUACAGCAAAUUUAGAGAGGCACAGAAUCUGAAGAGCUAUUUGGCUGGCAGACAGAAUGUUUCACCAAGGGCAUUUGAAACAAAAAUGUAUUUUAUUACCAAAUCUGAAGUACAUGUGCAGAAACAAUGAACAGAAAGUUUUUGUGUUGUAUCUAAAUAUUUCAAAGCAGUAGAGAGAUUUGGUUUGGUUUAGUCUUUGUGCAGGACAAAUAUCCUUUAAAAUAGCUGUUUACAGGCUUCAUAAGAAGCUAAUCAAGGCAAGGCAAUGUAUCAAAUUCUGCAUCCCUCUUCAGAGUGUGCAGAGGGACAUACCUACAUUUUAUUAUCUGGUGGAGGCCUGUGGUCUGAAAAAUCUACUGUCAAACAGCAGCUGUACACAAAAUGAAUGAGAAGUCAUUUUAAAUCAUUCACUUUUCCAACUGCAUUUUAUUAUUUCUCUACAUAAUUUAUGGUUUAUAAAGUCUAUCCACAAUAGUAUCCCUUUAGUUUAAACAAACUGAUCACCGAAAGCCUUGGGAAAGUUCAAGUGCAGUCAAUUAGUAUCACUGACACUAAAGGUAGCAUUACUUUUCUGUCAAGAAAAUUGUCCUACUUUUCCUUUUAAGUCUCGUGUGCUUUCAAACUUUCAAAUAACUGUAAGUUUACAAUCAUAUGUCAGUUUUUUGCUGCUAAAGGAAUACACAAAAACAGACUUCAAAGCCAUCUUUGUUCUGCACAUGCAUAUCAAAGAAAACAUCUAUUUUAUUUUGCUGCAUCAAAGGCUAUUAAGUACUAUUUUAACAUUUGGGAAAUAACACAAUUUGACAUUUAAUGAACUUAAUGUUCAUCAUGUGCCUUCAUUAAUUCCUUUGCUAGAUUUUAACUUUUUGAAGUCACAUCAAAAGUUCAGAAAUUAUAUACACUAAAAAUCAUAUAUACACAUAUACACACAUAUGUAUGUAUUCAUAUACUUAUAUAUAAACAUGUUUUUAUAAUGGACCAUUUUUAUUUAGAAAAAUAUUAAAGUUUAUGAUUGUAAUUUUGUUAGAAUUUUGUAACAGACAGUAAUUCUAUUAAUUAUUGGUUUGUUGUUAAUUUAUACAAUCACCUCAUAGCUGUUAUGGUUUCCUGAUUCUUUUCUGCUUUGAUGCAUUUAUGGAAAUCUUACGUCUUCUUGAAAAGUUCCAACUCUGAAGUAUUUUAAGCUCUUGUUGAGGUUAAUCAAAGUCACUUAAAAGCAAACUGUAAAGCUCUUUCACUACAUAAAAAAUGAAAUUUUCUUCAUAAAUGCAUUUUAGAAUAGUGACAUGGAUUUAGAGUCUCAAAUAAAGUAUGACUCUGAUGCUUAUCAGUGAAGAGAGAAGUUAUACUUGUGAAACUGCCUGUGGUUUUCAGGAUAGAAAGUUUUAUGUUUUAAAAUAAACUUUUCUGCUUGACUGGUCUCUUCUAGUACUAUGGAGCAUAAGAAUUCCCAUUUAUUUUUUGUUAAUUUCUUUGUGCCAUGGAAUAGCUAAAGUUUGUAUCAUUUUGGUGUUUGUUUUUGUUGUUUGGUUUUUUCAACAACUUUGCUUACCAGGAUAUGUGAUAAUGUAAGAUAUACAGUUCAAUGUUCACACUUGGAUAUACAAAGUACAGCUAGAACUAAUUAUUGUUUAAGGCAGUCUCACCAGAUGAAAGAAGAUCAAUUAGCCUGGAACUUAUGACCCAUUAUUGAGUCAUUUUAUUCUUUGCUAAAUAAAGUACAGCGUUAAGCAUAGAUAAUCAAUGGCAUUAUAACCAUUCUUGAUUUUUUCUGCAGAUGUUCCAAAACUUUUAUGUAUUAAAAUAACAAGGAUUUUUAAAGAAAGAACAAACAAAGGACAGAAAACAGAACUGGAGAAUACUAAGAUUAUUCAUUCAAGUAGAGCUAAGAAAAAACAAAUAAAUUUGCAAAAGUAAUGGUAAAUUGAAAUUUGUCCAAUUUACCCCUGACAAGACCUCAGACUUACCUGAUUUUUGUUUCAAAAAUUUCUGUAAUAAAUAUUUUGAAAAAUGUUCAGCUGAAAGAAAAAGACUUUAUCAUGCUAUGCCUUCAUCUACUGUUUCUUUGCUUAUUUCUUUGCUUUCUUUGAUUGCCAUUCCUAAGUCUUCCCUCUUACAUCCAGUGUACAGGUUUCAGAGAAUGAUAGAAUGAUUUAGGACUGAAAUUUAAUCCAGAAAUUAACUGUGCCAAUUCUCUGGUCAAAGCAAGUCUACAGCAGACCAGGUUACUCACAGCCAUGGCCAGUCAAAUCUGGACACAACAUACAAAUUUUACAGCAUCUGAUCAUCACUAUAAUAAAAAAGAUAAAUAUCACAGAAUGUUCUGAGUUGGAAGGCACCCACAAGGAUCAUCAAUUUCAGCACUGUGGUGACUGGCCCAUAUGAGUAACAAGCCUGCGACUUUGGUGUUUGUUAUUCACACCAUGCUCCAACCAACUAUAUUCCAGCAUUUAAUUAGAAUUUCCUACAUUUCCACUUAAAUCCAUUUCUUUUGUCCUAUCACUGUACACCUCUGUGAGGAGUCUGGCAUCAGCUCCUCUGGAUCCUCCAGUGAGAUACCAAUAGGCAGCAACAAAGUCUACUGUGAGCCUUCUUUCCUCAAUACUGAACAAAUCCAGUUCUCCAACUCGCGCCUAUACCCUAUGCUCCAGACCUCAGCCAUCUUGGUGACUGUUACUGGAGUUAGUCCAAAACAUAAAUAUCCUUCUUGCAGCAGGAGCCCAAAAGCUGAAUGCAGUACUCCAGAAAAGGUCUUGCGAAUGCCAAGCAGAGGGAGCAUGUCCUUGGUCCUGCUGACUACAGUCUUGCCAACACAGCCCAGGAUGUAUCUGGUCUCCUUGGCUGCAAGAGCAUGCUCCCAACAUACAUUCAACUUGUCUGAGCAGUCAGGGUCAGGAAAGCUAAAGGCCUGGUAGAAUUAAAUCUGACUGGGGAUGUCAAAGGCAACAAGAGAAGCUUCUAUAUGUACCUCAGUGAUAAAAAGGAAGACUAGGGAAAAUGUGGGCCCUCUUCAAAACAAAAUGGGAGACCUGGAUGCCAGGACAUGGAAAAGGCUGAGAUACUCAAGGACAUUUUCAUGUCAAUCUUCAUCAGCACAGUGUUCCAGCCACACUUCCCAAGUCUCAGAAGACAAAGGCAGGUACAGGGAAAAUUAAGAACCUUCUGACACAGGAGCAGUACAAGUUUGAGAAAAUUUAAGGAACUUGAAGGUGAACAAGUACCUGAGACCUGAUGAGAUGUGCAACCACGAGUCCUGAUGGACCUGGCAGAUGAAGUGGCUAAGCCACUACCCAUCAUACUUGAAGAGUCCUGGUGGUCCAGUGACCCACUGACUCAAAAAGGAGCAAUAUAAUGCCCACUUUUAAAGGUAGAAGCAAAGAAGACCUGGGGAAAUACAGGCCAGUCAGUCUCACCUCUGGGCCCAGAAAGAUCAUAGAAUCAUAGAAUCAUUUAGGCUGGAAAAGGUCCCCAGGAUAAUCAAAUCUAGCUGGGCUUUGAUCUUUGUUAUUUCAUUUCUAAAUGAGUUGCCAAUGUCUGUGUGUCCAUUCCAUGAAGACUGUUUCUGCUGCCACUACCUGUAUAUCUCCUUUUCAUGUCUGAGCUCAAUCAGGAACUCCAUGUUUAUCCACACUUGCUUUCUGCUUUGCCUCUUUGUGAGGAAGGGACAAUUCUCACGCUCUGAAAAGGUAUGCUUAAAGAUCAGUCAGUUCCCCUGGACCCCUUUGAACUCCGGCACAGUUUCCCAUGGGAUAUGCCACACAGCUACCAGAACAGUCUGAAAUGUGCUCUUCUGAAGUCCAGAGAGGUAAUUCUGGAAUUGUCUUUCUCAAUCCUCUCAGGACCUCAUAUUCCACAGCCUCUGCCAUGCAAACUGCCUACUUGUUUGUUUGCAGGCACUGCAUGCAGUGCUAAAGAGCAAUGAAACUGCUAAUAGCAAUUGUAUUCAGGGGCCUGCCACUUUGUGGUGAGGCAUACUCCACCAGAUCUCAUGAAACUAAAACUUUACCAGAGCAUCCCCCAAAAAAAGUCACACACCUUGUGGCCAACCACAUGCUCCUGACACCUGCUCUGCCUUUGCAGCCAGUAGAAUUGUACACAGGUAUCUGCACAAGCACACAAAAAAGCACUGAUUGCCACCUCUCACAGGAAAAGAUGCUUAACCCUGUCUUUUUAAUCAAAACAGGGCUGAAGAAGUUUAUUUUAGAUUUCAUGACAAGAAAUAGUUAAUAAGAUAUUCAGGAGCAGGUCAGGGAAAGACAAUGGGGUGUGUGUAGGUAUCCCUAACUACUAAAUUAGAGAAAACCACUAUAAGACAAAAAAAUGUAAUAAAAAUGCCUAGUUUUUAGAAAUUUUCUCCACUGAAAUUCUCAUACUUCCUUUUCCUUUCAAACCUACCCACAAUAUCUAAGUUAGGCAAAAAAUAAGAGGAAUAAGUAAACUGCCAGUGGGUUAACUUGAUAGGUAAAAUAAAUUCAAAGCCAUGAGCCUUCUCUAACUGCUUUGCAGUCCAACUCCUUUGGACUACAUGAACUGUGAAGACCCUUUCCAACACACAAGACUCUGUAAUUCUAAAUAUAUAUUUAGAUAGGACAGAAAUAUAUAGUUUACAGACACAAUCAUAUGGCAAUUUGAAUAUUUCUUGUUGAUUGCAGGUUUAUUAAAACUAUUUUUAAAGGAUUAGAUGUUCCUUGUGCCGUCAAUUACAUUAAUAUUGAAUUUAUUUUCAUAGCAAUUAUAUUCUCCAUAUACCUAAUUUACAGCUAUUAUAUGUGGUUUCAUUAUCACUGCUUGUCACUACCAAAUGCAGCUGAAUUAAUGUCUAUAGGAUUAAGGUCCAAAGGAUGCAUUUGUAUUAACUAACUAAAUAAAGGUGUGGUGCAAAAUCACUGGAGUAAAAAAGUUGGCAGGCCUUAACUGAACAGCCCUCUAGAAGAGUUUACGGAGAAAAAAAAAUCUUUUGUUACCUUUACUUAGAUAUGAAUUCACAGGAAAAUAGAACACAUUAGAAGAAGACUUAGAAGUGAUGUAUUUCUGUGAUUUGAUUUGUUGUCUUUCAGUGCUAUGCACCAGUUCACACUUCUGAAUAGACUAUCAGAUCUGACUGGUCAGCAAUGUGCAUGGGAUUAAGUUAACUCCUGCCUGAAAUAUACAAUAAAUUCAAGUAUUAUUGCAGCAUGAGCUGCUAAUAGACUAUGUUGACUGAAAAACUCUGGAACUCCAUAUGAUUCUGAACCUGUAUAAUGCUUUAAAUCAGCAGUUUCAGCUAUGCCUAACCCACCUGACAGCACUCCAGUGAAGCCUGUGUGUAUGGCAAAGUAGCUACUCUGCUCUGAAGGA